rnacentral:rRNA from 1 species
CAGUAUUUACCGCAUGGUAGAUAUUUGAAAGGAGCAAUUGCUUCACUAUGAGAUGGACCUGCGUUGUAUUAGCUAGUUGGUGAGGUAACGGCUCACCAAGGCAUCGAUACAUAGCCGACCUGAGAGGGUGAUCGGCCACACUGGGACUGAGACACGGCCCAGACUCCUACGGGAGGCAGCAGUAGGGAAUCUUCGGCAAUGGGGGCAACCCUGACCGAGCAACGCCGCGUGAGUGAAGAAGGUUUUCGGAUCGUAAAGCUCUGUUGUAAGAGAAGAACUGUGAGAAGAGUGGAAAGUUUCUCACUUGACGGUAUCU